ensembl:ncRNA C47D12.9 ncRNA
AAAUUAGAUGAGAAAAAAAUGAUUCAAGUGAGAUGGGAAGAACAUUGUGACCAACAUAUGGUCAUGGCAAGAUGGGGAGAUAGGAGAUGGGGUAAACUGGUUUUUAUCGGUACUGAAGAUUAAUAGGUUCGUCUUAAAAAUACUACCUGUUAGUAGGAUCAUAGUUUCGGAAAUCAAUUAAUACGAAAUUUGUCUAAAGA